CGGAGCGUAGUACAAUGGUAGUAUACGUGCUUUGGGAGCACGAGACCUGGGUUCGAUUCCCAGCGUUCCGA
rnacentral:tRNA from 2 species